rnacentral:rRNA from 1 species
GACAGAGGUCCCGAGCGUUAGGCGGAAUCACUGGGCUUAAAGCGUGUGUAGGCGGAUGCCUAAGUACCUUGUGAAAUCCCACGGCUCACCCGUGGAACUGCUCGGUAUACUGGGUGUCUUGAGCCACUUAGGGGCUACCGGAACAAAUGGUGGAGCGGUGAAAUGCGUAGAUAUCAUUUGGAACGCCAAUGGUGAAAACAGGUAGCUGGGAGUGUGCUGACGCUGAGACACGAAAGCCAGGGGAGCAAAC